CGCUCUUUGAUUAUUUUAUAUAGAGAGUCGAACCUGCCCAGUGAUUUUAUUUAACGACCGCGGUACUCUGACCGUGCAAAGGUAGCAUAAUCAUUUGCCAUAUAAUUGAAGGCUAGUAUGAAUGGUUUGACAAGAAUAGUACUGUCUCCAUAAACAUUUUAUAAAAUUUGGUUUUUAGGUGAAGAAACCUAAAUAAUAUUAAAAGACAAGAAGACCCUAUCGAGCUUAAAAUAAUUUAUUUGGAAUUUUUGUUAAUAUCAGUUUCAGCUAAAAAUUUUGGUUGGGGCGACUAAGGAAUAUAAAAAACUUCCUAUAAAAUUUAGAAACUUUUAUGUUUUGAUUCAAAAAAAUUGAUUAACAGAAUUAGUUACCGUAGGGAUAAAAGCAUUAUCUUUUUUGAGAGUUCUUAUAAAGAAAAAGGUUUGUGACCUCGAUGUAAGACUAGGAUACCCAGAAAGGUGCAGAAGCCUUCAAUGGUUGGUCUGUUGAACCAUUAAUAUCCUACA
rnacentral:rRNA from 1 species